UACAGAGGUCUCAAGCGUUGUUCGGAUUCAUUGGGCGUAAAGGGUGCGUAGGCGGCGCGGUAAGUCGGGUGUGAAAUCUUGGAGCUUAACUCCGAAACUGCAUUCGAUACUGCCGUGCUUGAGGACUGGAGAGGAGACUGGAAUUUACGGUGUAGCGGUGAAAUGCGCAGAUACCGGGAGGAACACCAAUGGCGAAGGCAGCUCGCUGGGACGGUACUGACGCUGAGGCGCGAAAGCGUGGGGAUCAAACAGG
rnacentral:rRNA from 1 species